rnacentral:rRNA from 1 species
UAGUGGCGCACGGGUGCGUAACACGUAUGCAACCUACCUUACAUUGGGGGAUAGCCUUUCGAAAGGGAGAUUAAUACCGCAUAAGACAGUAACUGGGCAUCCAGUAGUUGUUAAAGAUUUAUCGAUGUAAGAUGGGCAUGCGUCCAAUUAGUUAGUUGGCGAGGUAAUGGCUCACCAAGACUUUGAUUGGUAGGGGAACUGAGAGGUCAAUCCCCCACACUGGCACUGAGAUACGGGCCAGACUCCUACGGGAGGCAGCAGUAGGGAAUAUUGGGCAAUGGACGCAAGUCUGACCCAGCCAUGCCGCGUGCAGGAUGAAGGCGUUAUGCGUUGUAAACUGCUUUUAUACAGGAAGAAACGACUCUUGCGAGAGGCAUUGACGGUACUGUAUGAAUAAGCACCGGCUAACUCCGUGCCAGCAGCCGCGGUAAUACGGAGGGUGCAAGCGUUGUCCGGAUUUAUUGGGUUUAAAGGGUGCGCAGGUGGUUUAUUAAGUCAGUGGUGAAAGACGGUCGCUCAACGAUUGC